AUGGCACAUGGAGGUUAAGGACCAUUAGUCUGCUCCCUGGACUAAGGCCGCGCCUAUUAUAGUGCUACAGCGGAGCUUUCUUCAAUGGGCCAACUCUACUUUAUCACUGCUUACCCAAGACCUUUCCCAGAAGGUCAGGCUCCUCUAAUGACUCGUGACUUGAGUCAUGAGGAGGACGGCAGAAGUGAACGGGGAACGUUUCCCGUACGCCGGACGGAGCAGACGGAGCAGGAACGAACGGGGAGGAAGAAGGAAGAGGGCGAGAGAAGUGCUUCACGUCAAACUUUGGGGAGCAGUGCUGUGACGUCUGGGAAAUUACAUCAGAGGCCAACGCGACGCCGCCAUUGCCGCACAUCUGGAAACUGAUACGAAAAAAACAAUCCUGCAAAGUCCAUAAGACGGGGAGGAAACCGAGGACGAGGACUUUUCUCCCCCCAAUGCGAGCGAGCAGCAUGACGGAAAUAACUCAACUUCGGGAGGAAACUAUGCAGCCUCACAUCACCCCCCUCCCCCGCCUCCCCCGUGCGUCCUUGCGGAGGGACGGUUGCUCCAACAAAGAUGCUGUUAAAUGGAUUUGUGUGUGCGCGCGUGCAAAUGUGUGCGCGUGUGCCGACACGCAGCGUUUUUGUGCGGCGCUUCGGCAGAAAGCUGAUUAAAGAGCGAGUGAGGAAGUUGCUUUCUACCCCACAGUGGACCGACAAUGUGCAGGAUUAAUCAGGCCCGGCUCCUAUCCACGCAGGUUAAUUAGGGUUAAAUGAUAAUUAGGACACCAUUAAAAAGGCAAACAACCACAGAGGACCCUUAAUCCGUGCGGUGGUGUGCUGCGGCGCGUAGGUUUAUUUGUUUGUGGAGGUGUGUGUGUGUGUGUGUGUGUGAGGUGUUUUUGGGGCAUCUGCUGAGCUAUGAGUUUGUGUGAAUUAGAUAUAAAAAAAAGACAAAGGCCGCUUAGUUUGAACCUCACUGAUGAAAUGUUGUUCUUGACGAAGGUCACGUCACACAGAGUAAAUCUUUCUGAAUGGUUGAAAAUGCAGAAUCCGAGGUGAAAAUACCGACAACAAAGAGCAGCCCCGUCCACGUGCAUCGCAUCCACGCCACGUCACGUUGACCGCCGCUUAUCGAACCGCCCGCAAAAAAGUCCACCGCGGAGGAAAAUAGAAUUAUGACCGACACCCAGAAUGCUUUGCACCUGCACUGAUGGGAUGUAAAUGCGUCCGGCUCGACCUGGAACAUCCUCCGUGUCCCUACUCAGAUACGAUAAUUUGCUCCCGUUUUGUGACACCAGGAUGCUGCAGUGACAAAUUAGAAUUGAUUGGAGCCUCGGCUAAAAUGUCUCAGGAUGUGACCCCUGAGCUCAGAGGCAUUUUGCCGUAUUAGUAUUCUGCCCCUGACUGCUGCUACCUGGCAGCUAAGGUUUUAGAGCAUGAAUUAAAUCAAUGUGCAUCACUGUGGGGAUCUUUCCUUCAUCUCGCUGUAUUGCAGUUACUUGCAUGUCUUUCCACCAGCAUCACUAUAAUACCAUAAUGCAACACAGUCACUUGCAUGACCGUUGUACAUUAAACAUCUCCAAUCAAGUUUUACAUGUUUUUUUGAUGACGAUUUAUUCCCCAAAUCUGCAGAACUCCUUCGCUCUGCUGCACCCAGAUGUUAACUGACCAAAUGUACAACCCCCCCCCCGA
ensembl:lncRNA